AUUAAAGUGGCAGAUUGAUUGCGGGGAAUUUAAGCUUCCUUUAGGAUUUUCCUUUAGUA
rnacentral:tRNA from 1 species